rnacentral:rRNA from 1 species
GAUGAACGCUAGCGGCAGGCCUAAUACAUGCAAGUCGAGGGGUAGAGAAGAGCUUGCUUUUCUUGAGACCGGCGCACGGGUGCGUAACGCGUAUGCAACCUACCUUUAUCAGGGGGAUAGCCUCUCGAUAGAGAGAUUAACACCGCAUAAAAACACAGUACGGCAUCGUACAAUGUUCAAAUAUUUAUAGGAUAAAGAUGGGCAUGCGUGACAUUAGCUGGUUGGUGAGGUAAGGGCUCACCAAGGCGACGAUGUCUAGGGGAUCUGAGAGGAUGACCCCCCACACUGGUACCGAGACACGGACCAGACUCCUACGGGAGGCAGCAGUAAGGAAUAUUGGUCAAUGGGGCCAACCCUGAACCAGCCAUGCCGCGUGCAGGAAGACGGCCCUACGGAUUGUAAACUGCUUUUAUACGGGAAUAAACCCCUUUACGUGUAAAGGAUUGACUGUACUGUAAGAAUAAGGAUCGGCUAACUCCGUGCCAGCAGCCGCCGUAA